UACAGGGGGGGCAAGCGUUGUUCGGAAUUACUGGGCGUAAAGGGUUCGUAGGUGGCCAACUAAGUCAGACGUGAAAUCCCUCAGCUCAACUGGGGAACUGCGUCUGAUACUGGUUGGCUUGAGUGCAGGAGAGGAACGCGGAAUUCCAGGUGUAGCGGUGAAAUGCGUAGAUAUCUGGAGGAACACCGGUGGCGAAGGCGGCGUUCUGGACUGCAACUGACACUGAGGAACGAAAGCCAGGGGAGCAAACGGG
rnacentral:rRNA from 1 species